rnacentral:piRNA from 1 species
UCAAGCAGAUGAGAAGGGACAUAGAAGAA